AUUGAACGCUGGCGGAAUGCUUUACACAUGCAGGUCGAGCGGCAGCACGGGGGCAACCCUGGUGGCGAGCGGCGAACGGGUGAGUAAUACAUCGGAACAUGCCCAGUCGUGGGGGAUAACACUUCGAAAGAAGUGCUAAUACCGCAUACGUCCUGAGGGAGAAAGCGGGGGAUCGCAAGACCUCGCGCGAUUGGAGUGGCCGAUGUCAGAUUAGCUAGUUGGUGGGGUAAAGGCCUACCAAGGCAACGAUCUGUAGCUGGUCUGAGAGGAUGAUCAGCCACACUGGGACUGAGACACGGCCCAGACUCCUACGGGAGGCAGCAGUGGGGAAUUUUGGACAAUGGGGGCAACCCUGAUCCAGCCAUUCCGCGUGAGUGAAGAAGGCCUUCGGGUUGUAAAGCUCUUUCGGCAGGAACGAAACGGCGAGCUCUAACAUAGCUUGCUAAUGACGGUACCUGAAGAAGAAGCACCGGCUAACUACGUG
rnacentral:rRNA from 1 species